rnacentral:rRNA from 1 species
AUUGAACGCUGGCGGCAUGCUUUACACAUGCAAGUCGAACGGCAGCGCGGGCUUCGGCCUGGCGUCGAGUGGCGAACGGGUGAGUAAUGCAUCGGAACGUGCCCAGUAGUGGGGGAUAGCCCGGCGAAAGCCGGAUUAAUACCGCAUACGACCUGAGGGUGAAAGCGGGGGACCGACAGGCCUCGCGCUAUUGGAGCGGCCGAUGUCGGAUUAGCUAGUUGGUGGGGUAAAGGCUUACCAAGGCGACGAUCCGUAGCUGGUCUGAGAGGAUGACCAGCCACACUGGAACUGAGACACGGCCCAGACUCCUACGGGAGGCAGCAGUGGGGAAUUUUGGACAAUGGGCGCAAGCCUGAUCCAGCCAUGCCGCGUGCGGGAAGAAGGCCUUCGGGUUGUAAACCGCUUUUGUUCGGGAAGAAAUGCACUAGGCUAAUACCCCGGGGGGAUGACGGUACCGGAAGAAUAAGCACCGGCUAACUACGUG